GUCUCGCGCGGAAGAUGUAACGGGGCUAAACAUACCACCGAAGCUGCGGCUGCAUACUUUGUAUGCGGGGUAGGGGAGCGUUCUGUAAGCGGUUGAAGGUGUGUCGAGAGGCAUGCUGGACGUAUCAGAAGUGCGAAUGCUGACAUGAGUAACGAUAAUGGGGGUGAAAAACCCCCACGCCGAAAGACCAAGGGUUCCUAUCCCAUGCUAAUCAGGGUAGGGUAAGUCGGCCCCUAAGGCG
rnacentral:rRNA from 1 species